AGCGAACGCUGGCGGCAGGCCUAACACAUGCAAGUCGAACGGAUCCUUCGGGAUUAGUGGCGGACGGGUGAGUAACACGUGGGAACGUGCCCUUUGGUUCGGAACAACUCAGGGAAACUUGAGCUAAUACCGGAUGUGCCCUUCGGGGGAAAGAUUUAUCGCCAUUGGAGCGGCCCGCGUCUGAUUAGCUAGUUGGUGAGGUAACGGCCCACCAAGGCGACGAUCAGUAGCUGGUCUGAGAGGAUGAUCAGCCACACUGGGACUGAGACACGGCCCAGACUCCUACGGGAGGGAGCAGUGGGGAAUCGUGCGCAAUGGGCGAAAGCCUGACGCAGCCAUGCCGCGUGAAUGAUGAAGGUCUUAGGAUUGUAAAAUUCUUUCAGCGGGGACGAUAAUGACGGUACCCGCAGAAGAAGCUCCGGCUAACUUCGUG
rnacentral:rRNA from 1 species